rnacentral:lncRNA from 1 species
CCUCGGCUAUCCAGAUAGAUUUAUAACUCUGUCCAGAGGUGUACAUUUUACCCAUACACCCGAUCAGCCCAUACGUUCAAGAAAGGUGGUACUGACCUAUGAGAUCCACACCCGCUCAUGGCUAUAUCUAGGCAACAUUCCCUAGGUCCAUCCACGGACAUGCUGGGGUCUAAACAGGGGCGACUAUCAUGCACUAUGCGGAUAUCAACCCGGGAAAAUGUGCACAAAAUAAACAGGGCCUCUACCUUGGUCUCCGACCCUCUCAAUCAACCCG